rnacentral:misc_RNA from 1 species
CAUUUGCCUACCACUAGUUCACAACAACUCGCUUUUCCUCGUUGAGAUGGAAAAUGAGCCUUUUCUGGCCUCCCAAACAAGGCCCCAGCCCCAGUCCUCCCAGCUCCAACCCAUUCUUGAACACCAUGAUCUCUCUUUCACUCUCCCUCAGUCUCUUUCCGGCCCAUUCAUAUUCCCUGAAAUCCAGGACCACCCACAAGAGCAACCCUCUUCUACCCCCGGAGCUCCGGCCGACCACAGAUGGAAACCGAGUUCUCUCCAUCGCUCGAAGACGGCUCCAGCCAUGGUCGUCAUGCAAGACUUGAAACCAGAAUCAACCCAAGAUCGCCACAAUCUGACAACGACUCCAUUAUCAGGCAAGCCAUUUUCCUGCUUUCUAUGUAUUUACUUAUCGGCGUGGUUAUCUACUCUUUUAACAGAGAUAACUUCUCCGGUGUAGAAACCCACCCGGUUGUCGAUGCCCUCANGCCCUCUAUUUCUGCAUAGUAACUAUGUGUACCAUUGGCUAUGGUGAUAUCGCUCCUUUGACACCUGAAACAAAAGUCUUUGCGUGCGUCUUUGUAUUGGUAGGUUUUGGAUUCAUAGACAUAUUACUUAGUGGGUUGGUUAACUAUGUUCUUGAUUUGCAAGAGAGCAUGAUCUUGGCUGGGAUUCAGAUGGGUAAAGCCCACCACCAAGGAUUUUCAGCUAGGAAUUACAUUGUCGAUGUUGAAAAGGGGCGGAUGAGGAUACGAUUGAAGUUAUGUCAGUUACUACAGUUGGUUAUG